rnacentral:rRNA from 1 species
AGCGAACGCUGGCGGCAGGCCCAACACAUGCAAGUCGAGCGGCCGUAGCAAUACGGCAGCGGCAGACGGGAGAGUAACACGUGGGAACGCGCCCUUCGGUUCGGGAUAACUCAGGGAAACUUGGGCUAAUACCGGAUACGCCCUUACGGGGAAAGAUUUAUUGCCGAAGGAACGGCCCGCGUCCGAUUAGCUUGUUGGUGAGGUAACGGCUCACCAAGGCGACGAUCGGUAGCUGGUCUGAGAGGAUGACCAGCCUCACUGGGACUGAGACACGGCCCAGACUCCUACGGGAGGCAGCAGUGGGGAAUAUUGGACAAUGGGCGCAAGCCUGAUCCAGCCAUGCCGCGUGGGUGAUGAAGGCCCUAGGGUUGUAAAGCCCUUUCAGCGGGGAAGAUAAUGACGGUACCCGCAGAAGAAGCCCCGGCUAACUUCGUGCCAGCCGCCGCUGUAACAC